CAUUUUUUUCUUUUCUUCCUUCCUUUUCAAAGAUUUGUGUGAUCACUGCCAUUCUCUUACCCUUCUGAUCCCCCACUACCUCUGCCCUUCUUUCCCUGAUUUUCUCUUUCUUCCCAGCUCUUUCAAACCCAUGUGUAGAAAAUCUGAGUGAAAAAGAAUAGGUGGAUGGGAGCACGUGGGAAAAGAAAAUGACACGGAACAUUAGAGAAACAAUAAUAUAGUAAUGUGAUAAUUCCCUAAGAAGAGCCUUCGGAGUAUCUGCGAAUUGAAAGCGAGUUCACUUGAGGUUUUGUCAAUUUUGCCUUUGAGCCUGGACAGCCUAAGCUGGCCACUAUUUUAGACCCUGUGGGAAAUGAGGUGGCACAAUGAUCUCGUCUUCUUCGGUAAGGUUAUUUCCCUUAGGAUUGGGUCUCCUAAGUCACCUGGCCAUUAUCUAACUGUCUUCCAGUCUGGUAACAAAACCCCCAAAUGGACCUAAACAGAAUCUUUCCUUAAUUGAUCAAGCAGAAAUGCUGAAAAAUAACCUUGCCACCAAAGCAGCCAUUCCUCUGCUCCAGAAAAAGCAAGACUGUAAAGGGACACAUGUUUUCUGAAGAGGUUAUUUCUGUGACAGUCACUCCUCAGAAUGGAAGAAGGUGCCCAAGGAGUGUCUGGUGCCCAGGAGAUUUUGGGUAAAGUGGCCCGGUUUUCUGCUCCUCCUAACAUGGAUCUUCAAUUUAAGGGAGCACGAAAAUAUCAGACACAUUUUCUCAAAAAUGAAACCAGGGCUUUAAAAUGCUCUUUUUUUUUUUUAAGUUUCUUCAUUGUACUUUUCUGUUGAUGAGUUUGUUUAAUAGAGAACACUUCCCAUUUUUACCUAAAUCAAUAAACAUUUUUUUUUCUUUUGAGACAGAGUUUCGCUCUUGUCUCCCAGGCUGGAGUGCAGUGGCAUGAUCUCAGCUCAUUGCAACCUCCGGGGUUCAAGUGAUUCUCCUGCCUCAGCCUCCCCAGUAGCUGGGAUUACAGGCGUGCAUCACAAUGCUCGGCUAAUUUUUGUAUUUUUAGUAGAGAUGGGGUUUCACCAUGUUGGCCAAGCUGGUCUCAAAUUCCUGAGCUCAGGUGAUCUGCACAAUUUGGCCUCCCACAGUGCUGGGAUUACAGGUGUGAUCCCAGGGAUUACAGGCCACCACGCCUGGCCCAAAAUGUUUAUUCUAAAAGCGGCUAUAAAACACACCCCAAUGCUAAAUGGAGGUGCUGUGUGGAUUCUCUGCCAUUUUGUAAUGUUCAUGCUGCUGAUCCCUCCAUUGAGUGGAUAAAUGAAGUCAAGACUGCUUGCGACGACAACCCCAACCCUCACCCUCUCAUGACUUCUUGUUGUUUUAGGAACCUGGGGACUUUGGGGAAAAUGGAACGUGUUUAAGCAAAAAGUAAAAUCACUUUUCAGGACUAAUUAUUUUGUCCAACUCUCAUUUUGCACAAGUCUUUCUCAGAAUUGACAUUUCCCUGAGAGUGGCAAAGUCUUCAGCUCAAUGUAAAGUGCAGAAAAGCCUUCUAUUUUCUUUAAAGCAAAAAGGUUUCAAAUGUGUUUUACCAUCCUGACAGCAGUGACAAAUGGGACUUCCACUCAAAUGGAUUACAGAUGGGCUUUCUGAACCACAUAAAGCUCCAUGCAAAUAAGGAAGGACCAACAACAUUUUUUUUAAUGUCAGAAAUACUUAAAGGGUUUUUUUGACAUUUGUUUAAAAAAAAAAAACUCCCCUUUUUCAUUACCUUUUUCAUUUAUUAUCAGCAGUAGAUUGAUAUCGGGUAAAUUGUUAAGGAGGGGCCAGGAAAACAAGAGGCUCUUUGGCCAAGUCACAGGCACCGUGUUUACAGGUCAGCAAGCAAAUGACUCAGACCUGCUGAUGGUCUGAGGAAUGGAUAAACACCGAUUGGCAAACUUGUUCUGCAAAAGUCCAGAUAAAUAAAUAUUUUGGCCUUUUGGGGUGAUGAGGUCUCCAUUGCAACUACUCAAUUCUGCUUUUGUAACAUGAAUGCAGCCAUAACACUAUGUAAAUGAGUGAGUAUGGCUGUGUUCACAUAAAAUUUUUUUAUAAAAUAGGAAGGGGGCUGAUUUGUCCCAUAGACCAGAUUUGCAGCCCCUUGGAAAAUGAUGUGUAUGACACUGAAAUCAUAGUGCUUGGCAAGGAAAGGGAGAGUCACAAAAUAUCAUCCCCCAAAAGCUUUCAACUGGCUAAUGAGCUAGAGCAGGUCUGGAGAGCUCUGUGAUGCCAGGCAUUAACCCUUCGAAUACUGAAUUCUGGGGAGGUGGGAGCUUCCAGUGAAGGGGCUGGUGGGGCUGCCUGGAGCUUCAGGGCCGCAGCUAACUCCAACCAGUAGAAAAAGUUCACCAAUAUUUUAACAACUGAUCAAGCCAUGCUAGUGGGUGCCAGUGAAUAACAGCCUGUCUACAGCCUGGAUUCCUGAAUUAAGGUACCAUCCCAAGGAAGAGAUUAAGAAAAAAAUUAAAGUCUUUCAUAGAUGGGAGAUUUUUUUUCUACCCUCCUCCCAAAAACAAAAAAAUAAUUAAUUCAUUUACAAGCAAAAAAGAUUAAAAAGCCAUGAGAAGACAAUACAAUU
rnacentral:lncRNA from 10 species